GACGAACGCUGGCGGCGUGCUUAACACAUGCAAGUCGAACGAUGAAGCCCAGCUUGCUGGGUGGAUUAGUGGCGAACGGGUGAGUAACACGUGGGCAACCUGCCCCAAACUCUGGGAUAACUCCUCGAAAGAGGUGCUAAUACCGGAUACGAACUAGACAGACAUCUGUACUAGUUGGAAAGUUUUUCGGUUUGGGAUGGGCCCGCGGCCUAUCAGCUUGUUGGUGAGGUAACGGCUCACCAAGGCUACGACAGGUAACCGGCCUGAGAGGGCGACCGGUCACACUGGGACUGAGACACGGCCCAGACUCCCACGGGAGGCAGCAGUGGGGAAUAUUGCGCAAUGGGCGAAAGCCUGACGCAGCGACGCCGCGUGAGGGAUGAAGGUCUUCGGAUCGUAAACCUCUUACAGUAGGGACGAAGCGAAAGUGACGGUACCUAAAGAAGAAGCACCGGCUAACUACGUGCCAGCCGCCGCAGUAA
rnacentral:rRNA from 1 species